CGGCCUGGAGUAGCGACCCGUCUCCAAGGCCAGAGGUAACGAGCCGGCUCGAAACAUAGCCAUAUAUCUCCUUUGACUAAGUGGAAUGUUCAUUUUUACAUAUGACUCAACGUUUACAGUUUGUUUGUAUAGUCUGUAUGUACGGAGUUUGUUUCCGUUUAAUGUACCACGGUCGUUGAAAAUGUCUUCACACCAUUGAUGAUUGUCCAAUUGUUCUAGCUUUUCAUUAAUUAUUUUCAUAACGUAUUUUGUGGAUAAAGAUGUGUCACUUAUAAGUCCACAUACAUCAAGUUUAGUCACAAGUUUGUUGACUUCGAA
rnacentral:lncRNA from 1 species